rnacentral:rRNA from 1 species
AGCGAACGUUAGCGGCGGGCCUAACACAUGCAAGUCGAACGCGAAAGGUCUUCGGACUGAGUAGAGUGGCGCACGGGUGAGUAACACGUAGGUAAUCUACCCUUUGGCGGGGGAUAACGUUCCGAAAGGAGCGCUAAUACCGCAUAAGACCACGGAGUCUCCGGACGCUGUGGGAAAAGGUGGCCUCUUCUUGAAAGCUACCACCGAAGGAUGAGCCUGCGUCCCAUCAGCUAGUUGGUAAGGUAAUGGCUUACCAAGGCGAAGACGGGUAGCUGGUUUGAGAGAAUGAUCAGCCACACUGGCACUGGAACACGGGCCAGACUCCUACGGGAGGCAGCAGUGAGGAAUAUUGGGCAAUGGGCGAAAGCCUGACCCAGCCACGCCGCGUGAGUGAUGAAGGCCCUCGGGUCGUAAAGCUCUGUGGAGAGGGACGAAAACCCUGAUUUCAAAUAGGCUCCAGGCUUGACGGUACCUCUUUAGCAAGCACCGGCUAACUCUGUGCCAGCAGCCG